AGUGAACGCUGGCGGUAGGCCUAACACAUGCAAGUCGAACGGCAGCACAGUAAGAGCUUGCUCUUGCGGGUGGCGAGUGGCGGACGGGUGAGGAAUACAUCGGAAUCUACUUUUUCGUGGGGGAUAACGUAGGGAAACUUACGCCAAUACCGCAUACGACCUACGGGUGAAAGCAGGGGAUCUUCGGACCUUGCGCGAUUGAAUGAGCCGAUGUCGGAUUAGCUAGUUGGCGGGGUAAAGGCCCACCAAGGCGACGAUCCGUAGCUGGUCUGAGAGGAUGAUCAGCCCCACUGGAACUGAGCCACGGUCCAGAUGCUUACGGGAGGCAGCAGUGGGGAAUAUUGGAAAAUGGGCGCAGGCCUGAUCCAGCCAUACCGCGUUGGUGAAGAAGGCCUCCGGGUGGUAAAGCCCUUUUGUUGGGAAAGAAAAGCAGCAGGUUAAUACCCCGCUGUUCUGACGGUACCCAAAGAAUAAGCACCGGCUAACUGCGU
rnacentral:rRNA from 1 species